GGAAGGAUCAUUACACGUAGUCACCCGGGGCGCCGCAAGGCCUCCCGGGUAACCUACCACCCUUUGUUUAUUACACUUUGUUGCUUUGGCAGGCCUGCCCUCGGGCUGCUGGCUCCGGCCGGCGAGCGCUUGCCAGAGGACCUAAACUCUGUUUGUCUAUACUGUCUGAGUACUAUAUAAUAGUUAAAACUUUCAACAACGGAUCUCUUGGUUCUGGCAUCGAUGAAGAACGCAGCGAAGUGCGAUAAGUAAUGUGAAUUGCAGAAUUCAGUGAAUCAUCGAAUCUUUGAACGCACAUUGCGCCCCCUGGUAUUCCGGGGGGCAUGCCUGUCCGAGCGUCAUUACAACCCUCAAGCUCAGCUUGGUGUUGGGCCCCGCCGCCCCGGCGGGCCCUAAAGUCAGUGGCGGUGCCGUCCGGCUCCGAGCGUAGUAAUUCUUCUCGCUCUGGAGGUCCGGUCGUGUGCUUGCCAUCAACCCCCAAUUUUUUUCAGGUUGACCUCGGAUCAGGUAGGGAUACCCGCUGAACUUAAGCAUAUCAAUAAGCGGAGGAAAAGAAACCAACAGGGAUUACCUCAGUAACGGCGAGUGAAGCGGUAACAGCUCAAAUUUGAAAUCUGGGCUCACGGUCCGAGUUGUAAUUUGUAGAGGAUGCUUCGAGCAUGGUCUAGCCUAAGUUCCUUGGAACAGGACGUCAUAGAGGGUGAGAAUCCCGUAUGCGGCCAGGUGCCUACGCUCAUGUGAAGCUCCUUCGACGAGUCGAGUUGUUUGGGAAUGCAGCUCNAAAUGGGUAGUAAAUUUCAUCUAAAGCUAAUAUUGGGCCAGAGACCGAUAGCGCACAAGUAGAGUGAUCGAAAGAUGAAAGCACUUUG
rnacentral:rRNA from 1 species